rnacentral:rRNA from 1 species
CGUGUAGGCGGUCUCGCAAGUCGGAUGUGAAAUUCCCGGGCUUAACCCGGGAGCUGCAUCCGAAACUGCGAGACUUGAGUACUGGAGAGGAUAGUGGAAUUCCUAGUGUAGCGGUAAAAUGCGUAGAUAUUAGGAGGAACACCGGUGGCGAAGGCGACUAUCUGGACAGUAACUGACGCUGAGGCGCGAAAGCGUGGGGAGCAAACAGGAUUAGAUACCCUGGUAGUCC